UCUUUUCUUUUCUUUUCUUUUCUUUUCUUUUCUUUUCUUUUCUUUUCUUUUCUUUUCCCUUUAAAGGUCUGAUAGGUGUUAAGUGCUUUAAACAUUAUUUGUCUUUUACAUUUGCCAGGUGGCUUGGACAAAGAUUCUACAUCUUAUUCUUCUUGGCUUAAAUACUUUUUUUUUUCUUUCAAAUUUCAAGCCUGACUCCAAGACAGCUCACAGAACCAGAAAAGAUAUAAAGUGAUCCACAGAUUUCCCAUUAUAAAGUGUCCCAGAUUUAAAAAGUCACAACUUUUUAUUUGCAUGGUUGAUCCUGCAGGAAAUUAUUUUGGUUGUGAUUGCUUACAGAAGUACUUUUUGUUAUCUAAUGGACCAUGGCAGGAACAAUUUGACCCAUUUUACCACAGGAAACCAUAACAGAUUUAUUUCAGGUUUAACAAAGUACUGAAAUCUAAAGAUAAUGUAGAUGUCUUAUGUAUUUCUAUUGCUCAGUCUGUAUGCUCUGAAACUAAGAAAGAGAUUACUGAAGUGAAUCUGAGCUGGUGACUUGAUUCUGUAAUUAACUACAGAUAGAUAUAACAGUUUAUUACCAGUGACAAUCUGCUUCUGUGUGAUUCUUUCUGCACUGUUGGGCAACUGCUCAAAAAUGUUCACCUGUGUCACAUAAUCAUAGAAUGGCCUGGGUUGAAGGGGACCUCAAGGAUCAUGGAUCUCCAAUCUGUCUGUCACUGGCAGGACCAACAACCUCCACAUUUAAUACUAGACCAGGCUGCCCAGGACCCCAACCAACCUGGCCUUGAACACCUCCAGAGAUGGGUCAUCUACAACCUCUCUGGGCAGCUUGUUCCAGUACCUUCCCACUCUCAUUGUAAAGAACUUCCCCCUGACAUCCAACCUAAAUCUUCCCUCCUUCAACUUAAAACCAUUUCCCCUUGUCCUGCUGUUAUCUGCCCAUUCAAAGAACUGUCUCUCCUCCUGUUUAUAGGUUUCCUUUGUGUACUGGAAGGCUGCAAUUAGGUCACCCCUCAGCCUUCUUUUCUCCAGGCUGAACAAGCCCAGCUCCCUCAGCUUGUCUUUGUAGAGGAGGUGCUCCAGUCCUCUGAUCAUCUUUGUGGCCCUCCGCUGGACCCUCUCCAACAACUCUCUGUCUUUCUUUCACUGGGGGCUCCAGGCCUGGACACAGUACUUCUGAUGGGGCCUCACAAGGGCAGAGUAGAGAGGGACAAUCACCUCCCUGACCCUGCUGGCCACUCCUCUUUUGAUGGUGUCCAGCAGUAGCAUUUGCCUAAUAUUCUCUCUCAAACCUGAGAGUGUAAAUAAGGUUAUGCAGUAUUGAAAAAGAGGACUUUGAGCAUCAAAAUACAUUGUGUUCAACUGAAAUGGCUUAGUUUGGCUACUCUGUCUUACAUCCAUCCUACAUGAUCAUGUGCUGUAUAUCGAUGACAAACAGAAAGAUCUAUUUGGUGAGCUGCCUAUAUACAAAGAAGUGCUUAUCUGAACUUGAUAAUCCCAGUGAGAUAAAUAAUAGCCAGGUUUUCAGUUAUUCUAGUAAAACUAGUUUGUAAAUGUGCAAACUAAGUUCAUUUCCAAGCUUUCAAAAAUAGCAUAGUUACUGUCAUUUUAGCAGAUGAUUAGCUUUGAGAGCAUGACCAGUUCCACACACACACACACACACACACACACAAAAGUACUGAUGAGUUUAAAAUACAUUGAAUUCAUGCACAUUUAAAGAAUAGUGUUCAAGGUUUUCACUCACAGAAGUGAAUUGUUAAGGUUUCUGGAGGGAGAGGAGAAGACCAAUGGGAACGGAUGCAGCUAUCAACUGAUAGUUGCAAUGCUAUAACUGUUUUCUGAUACAAUGCUAUUUAAAACAGAAAUCUCAGUUUCUUAAGAAUUAAGAAAUGUUUUUCAUAUUCUACUGGUGUGUCAGUUUGAUAACAUUAUUUAUCUAGGAAAUGCCUAUGUAAAAUUGUUUUUUUUCUCACUACAUUUAAAGUGAUAAAAUCUUAAUUCAUCACAAGUAGGAGAAUACAAAUAUGGAACUUAAUUUUUAAACUUUGGUCACACUGAUGGCCACCUAUUUGAUCCCUAGUUUUUAAGAAUUAUUUCUUUUAAGUCCCAUGUCAGGAAGCCAAAUUACUGCAUGUGGAGAAGUUUUCUGAACUUACUUCUGUCACAUUGAAAUUGCUUUUAGAGUCCUUAUUCAGAUUUUCAAUGGGAAUUUGACUGUGAAAUUCACUUUCUUUUGUGAAACUGUAGUCUGUGGUGCGGAGAAAGAAGAGAAAUUUAGUGCAAAUGACUAGCUGAAUAAAUGUACAGAUAUGUUCAAUCAAAGCUUUAUGAAGUGAAAAAUAUCCUUUUCAAUAGCGUUUUCAAAAGUAGAUGAGCAACUUUCCAGCGUGUACUUAAAGGGAGCCCAAAAAGAAGCAGAGAAGACAGGUGGUGGUGAAGAUUUUCAGUUUACUCCUUGUGCCCAGAACACAGGCAUCAUUCAGACUGCUGGUGAGGGGAAAAACAUGUACUUUUCUAGGCUGAUAUAUUUUAGAGAUAAAAGCACCGUGAUUAUACUCCAUUUGCCAUGCUGGGAAUAGGCAAGAAGAGGUCAGUCAAAUUCAAUGCACCCGUGCAAUUUAUCCCUAUUUCACAGAGGAAAAUAAAGCUCUGAGAGGGGAGUAACACUGUCAAGCUCAGUCAGCUGGCUAAUGCCAGAGCUGGGAAUAGAGACUGAAUCUCCUCACUCCAUCUCUCCUCAAGCACUGUCUGCAGCCCUUCCCAUGGUAGUUAGAUUGUGUUCUUUUUUUGAGAAGUUAUUUCAGUCAGUGCCAGAAAGGGACAAUUUAUGGUUUUGAGGGCAUUUGCUCUAUUUAAUUUUGAUAAAUAUAAAUGCAUUCCAAAUAUUUACACUGUAAUAUUUUUACAAAUAUUUAUACUGUAAAAAAACAAUAAAAGAUAUAUAUAUAUAUUUCUUAAAGCAAUGAAAAUAACUUCCUGGUUUUUAUUUAAUAUAUUUUUUAGAGAUGAUCGUAUGCCUUACAAGUUCUUCUCCUAUAAAAUGUAUUAUGUUUUUGAGCAUUUUGUAUUGAAAUCAGUGAUCUCUUUGAAAAGAUUAUCCAUAUCCAGGCCAAGGAGCAGGCUGUUGUUUGACAUCUAUUCAUGGUGCAUUCCACUGUGAAUAUUAUGAGAAUGUUAGUAGGUGUGUAUGAGGCAUGUUUAUUGUCAAAUGGGAAUGGGUAUUCAGUAACUUUAUUGGAAAGUGGUGUGACAGUUGUAAGAAUUCUUUGAGAACUGCUAACUCCAUUUAUACUUAUCUCUGUUACAAAAAAUGCAGCUGAAGAAACAGGGCUAGGGUGAUUUCAUCAAGUGACUCAGUAUUUAAAAAAUCAUAGUACUAAAAAGAGAUGACCAGUAUAAUCAGAGAUGUAUGGCCAACUGCUAUUGCUCUGUCAGCGUAGACCAAGUGCUAACUGAAGCAAACUCUGGAAUUGAAGGAAAACAAAAAUAUUUUCAAAAGUAAAUACUGGGAAAGAAUAGCACAGAAAUAGAAUUCAUCCACCUCCAUUUAAAUUUUAUUUUAUAAUAAAGAAUAAGCAUACUCUAAAAGUGAUGAAGCAGUCUUGUUAGCAUAAUCCUUUCUUAAUAUUAACAUUGAUUUAUUUUUGUUUCUCAAGGUUGUUAAUCUUAUGGACACUAUUAAAGGAAACAGGAUUCAUACCACAUAAAAAAUAUUCAAACUAUUUUCCAGGAACUUCACAAGGCUUUGUAAUAUGGUAAAACACAACUGUGAUUGUGGUUAUGACUUUGCAAAUGGCUUCUCUAGGUAAAAAUAACAUUGACAGAAAUGGAAAUUGUUGGUGCAAACUGUUCAAUACAAAACUGGAUGUUGAUAGGACUGGAUACUUGAUGAAUUUUUGUGAUUUUUAUCCAAAAGAGAAUCAAUCUUGAGUGGAUUGUACAUUCUAUAAUGCACCAGGAAAUUUUCUAACUUAAAAUGCUCCUUAUUCAGCUUCCCACUAUUGAUGGUCUUCUUGUCAGUCUCCAAUGGGACGAAUCAGAUUUGGAAGUCUUAAGUCCUCAGUCAUGACCUACUUAUCUCACUGAUAAGACACUUUUGUUACUAAAUUUUGUUUGAUAUAUUACAUGAUAAAACACUUUUUUUUUUCUUUAUUACUGCAUUCUAUGAUGUUUUUUUUAAGUAUCAAAGACUUUGUUAGUAGGGAUGGAUUUGAAGCACAGAUUGAUUCACUACAGUCUCCCUAAUUGAGUAAAAAAUAAUAGGCAUACCAUAGACAUACAUGGCAUAAGGAUCUUUUGAGUGAUAGUAGGUUGCUGAAAUAAACAUGAACUGUGUGAAUCUUUUAGACUUUAAUAAAUUUAAAGAUGGCUCAGAUGAACUAUAAAACUGAAAUUCACAUAUAUGCAGCAUGUAUGUUAAAAAUAAAUGAUAACAGUGUGAAAAUACAUUCAUUCAAGCUGAUAAAUAAUAUCAGGCACUUGUUCCUAAAUUUGAUUUAAUGGUGGAUCAUUCUUCAGUUUUAGCAUUUCUUUCAACAUCUACAAGCCUGCCAAAUUAAAACAGCUAGGAGAAAACUAAUCUUUGGGUUAUUUGUGGCUUGAUAUUUUCUUUUGAAGUCAUAUGUGGAUAAAUUAUAGUCACAAAUCACAUCAACUGAGGUAUUGCUUUCACAAUAUUCUCCACUGGUUAUUUAUAGUACUUCACAACAUCUUCGAGGUAAUUUACUGAUGAGUCUUAUGCACUGUUUUGUUGCAAAUUUCAAAAUGUUUAGUACGUUGUUACAUAAUAAAUUACUUUGUUUAAUGAGGAACAUAGAAUUAUCAAAUGUCAUUCAGUAUAUUGCUUUCAGAUAUCAGUAAAUAAGCAUUUUAUUCCAUCUGAAUUAUGUACUUUCUCUUAAACCAGAAAUAAGGAAUGAGUAUAACUCACAUUCAGCAUUACAGGUCCAUAUCAGAUGAUCAGUUCAGAAGCUCUUCCUAUUAGAGAGCAAUUUCUGUUUAUAGAAUUAACAGAAGUAAAAUACAUAAAUUAAAUGUCAGGAACUGAAAACAUUUUACCGAAACCUCAUACCAUUCAUUGCUUCUUACUAUUCUUAAAAAGAUAAUAUCCAUUUCUUUUUUUGUACUAAAAAGACAGCUAUUCUGCCUGACAUAUUGAAAAAGUACAAAUACAAGCCAACAGCUUCUAACAGGUAAAGAUAAGGAAAAGAAAGGACUGAAGUUAUGUUGCAUCUUUUCAUUUCAAAUUUCUUUGCAACUGCCUUCCAAGUAUCUGUAAGAAAAUGUCAGUAUCCUGGGCAUAUAAUUUAGAGCAACUAAUUUUGUUAAACACAUUUAUUCUAAUUUUCCUCUCAUUUUCAUUUGUUGUAUCUCACUAAAUAUCUACAUCUAAAUGAAUGAUGUCAGACAUCUCGCAUGCCUAGUGGGUUUUGUUGUUGUUGUAUUUUAAAGUUUAUUUUCAAUAUCUGUUCUGUUCUGUGUUUGGUCAGAACCAAACAUGACCACUAAUUUUGCUGAUAAGAACUUUACCUGCUCUCUUGCUCUUCUUCAGCACUGGGCAUUUAAUUCUGCAGCUGUUCUACAGCUAUGGAAGAACAUGGCUUUGGGAUAUAGGCUACAUGCUGCUGUAAGUACAAAUGUUCUGUAUGCAGGGGCAGAAGUUUUGCUGUGAUGCAGUAGCUACAAGUUUGAGAGCACCUUCAUGGUUGACGAUGUUCAGGCUACUAGAAGUCAGAAAUACAGAACUGAUAUGGUUGCUUUCAGCAUAAUAUAGAUGAAGCUUAGCACGAAGCAAAUUAAAUUGUUUUGAGAUAAUGCUUUGUGUAGGGGUAGUCUCAAACACCUCACAUUUCCAAGUCAUCAAGUUUUUUUUACAUAAAGAAUAUCUUUGAGUUAUGUUUCUAAAAGAGAAGUGACUGAAGAGAUGAUCAUCUUACUUUUAAAUGUGUGACAUGAAAAACUUUUAUGUUCCUCCUUUUCUGUUAGAGAAAUGAACCACUGCUGCUCUUCCCAGAAAAAUCACAUACCUUGGCAAGCUCUGCCUGCCCUUAGGCAAACCAUCUUUCUCACUUCCCAUGAGAAUAUCCUAGUCAUUGGGAAAUGCAGAUGGUGGUACACUGCCACACUGGCUUCACUACUCCCCUGAGAGAUAUCAAAUCAUCUCAUGCAGCUUGUUUACAGCAUACUCAGAGAUUGCUAUACCCAAAAGCAAUUCAAAGAGCAGAAGAAACUUGAAUUACUGUGGGAAUACAAGAAAGGCUAUUCAGAGCAGAAGCUGUGUAGCAAGAUAAAUGGCGUGAGAAAGCAAUGCUGAGAACCAAGGACAUUUCCACAAGAAGAGAAAAAUGAAGUCAAGUAAGCUGCAUGAUGGCUACAUGAUAACAACCAUGAUUGGAGGAAGGGCGCAUGGCUAGGAAUGACUCAUGACUCUUAUUGGAUAAGUGCCUGCAUGCACGGUUAAGGAGUGCUUACGAAAUGUUUUGUUGACAUUUAGAGGGAGGUGGGAAAAUUACUAGAGAAAACUUGUGAAAGUAUUUAAGGGAUGUUAGAACCUGCAAUAAAUGAUUUGAAUCAUUCACAUCUGAGUCCGUGCCUCAGACAUUGCAAAUUACCACCUUUGCACAUUGCUUGAAACUUGAGUUUCCCAGUAACACUGAGAGGCUGUCUUCCCUGGAGAUCAGUACAGCUCUAAGGCCUUUCUUUGUAUGUUGUGUUUCUUAGCAGGGACACAAUGAAGCUGUUUAAAUGAUCAUACAAAUAAGUACAACAAUUCUCCUUUUGGAAAGCUCUCAAGAAACACAGGUCUUCUUUCAUAUUGUGUUAGCAAUUAAGAGAUUGUGCUAAGUUUUGAUUUCUCUGAAAACAAUGAGUGCAAUUGAAAGAAACUUACCAGUCAGAAGCUUGACAGUUGGAUUGCCCGAUGCUGUCUUCCUCUAGUCUGGCAUCUUUCUGAUUUCUCUCUCUGAAACCCAGUUGAAUGGAUCUCGUCUAUUGUGUGGCAAAAUAUUGAAUUCUUAGAGGAGUAUCUAACACUUAGAAGUGGACGUAUCUCUUGGCUUUUACUGAAGAAAAAUUGAAAUUUCCCCUGUGCAACAUGGAUUUUUUGAGUAAAACUGAUUUUUUUCUAAUGUAAAUACAUACUGAUUGGAAAGCUCAAUUAUCUAUAUGUACAUAUUUACUGAAUGAAAGAAACCUCUCUCCCAAAAUAGACAACAAUAGGAACAUUUUUAUUUAUAAAGAUAGAAUAUAAUGAUUUUGGCUGUUAUUAUGUACAGUGAUACACAUUUGGUAACCUUGAAAAAUGAAUAUAUUGUUCUUGAGCUACUGCUAAUGUGUUAAGAUGCUUGCAGCAGUUAGAGACAUGUUUGCUGUACAAAUGGCAAGGGCUUGUAUAAGUUUGUUUCGUAAUGUGUUGCUAUCUUUCACUAACAUGUAUGUAAUACAAAGGAAUUCUAGGUGGGAAUUCUAUCUGUACAGAGAUUGCACAGCAUCAUUUCAUUUGCAUCAAUUUAUGUCAUGCUCUUUUGAAAAAACACUACCUUCUUAUCUACAAAUAGAGGUAGAGGUUUGCUUAGUACCUGAUUUCUUGUUCAGUUUCUUCAAGAAGAGACAGUUAAUUUUGAAUAGUGUCAUCUUUUCAAAAAGAGAACAAAGUAUGAAUUAAAAAUACUAUGUGAAGUAAUACAAACUUUCAAGGUAAAAAACAAAACAAAACAAAAAUGACAACAACAACAACAACAAAAGCAAGCAAGCAAGUAUACAGCUUCUUGCCCUUGCAAAGUGGGAGCCAUCAUUUUAGAAUUCUUCAAAUCAUGUCAUCAUUUCCUAUAAUAUCACAUAAUGGCCAGCUGGCACACUGAAAUAAUGAAAUGUUGACUCUACUGAAUAUUAAGAGUGUUAUUCUUAUUAUGAAGGCCAUUGUUAGUGCAUAUAGAAGCUCUUAAAGAUGCAAAUCUUUGUUACUUUUCAACAGCCUGCUUUAGAAAAAAGAAAUUCAAUGGAAUGUAGCACAGCCUUGUUGUUAUAAUAUAUCUUGUAAUACAUACUUUUUGUUACAUCAAAAGCUUCUCAGAUGGUCAAAGACAAAAGACAUAAUUGAAUUACAUAUUUAAUUUGUUUUAACGAGACACCUGUAACUGGGACACUUUAAGGUACGAAACAUAAAUCUUGUGUACAUAGAGCAGAAGAUUGUUUUCUAACAAGAAGUCAAAAGUAGCAGGUUGGGAACCAUUUUUCUCUUUUUUACUUAAAUAUAGCUAAUAUCAAACAUUAACAAUUACUUCUAAUAAGAAGCACUGUAAAGUUAUGAUUGGAAUAAAAUGGCAUUUGUUUUUAAUAAUGCAUAUGAUAUAGUAUGAUAUUAAGGUUGGAAGUAAUUCAACGCACAGAUUAUUUUACUUUUACAGUCAAAGAGUACAUCCUUCUCUCUCCAAUCUUUCCACACUACGUGGCUCAAAGGAAAUCAUACAGGUAUUUCAUAGCUCUUAAUGUUUAAAUCCCAGUUCAUGCACACGGUUAUUCUUGUGAAUCUAUGGAUUUAUCCAUAUCUAUGAAAUUAAACAAAUGCUUUAGGCUUUGUUGGAAGGGAAUGCAUAAAUUUUUACUAUCAAAAAUGGAAAUUGAUUGAAGUUUGUAGAGAAAAACAGUUUUUUGUUUAUUUUUGACUAAACUAUGUGUUGGUCCUAUGAAUGUGUCUCACUAAUAAUUUGAACAUCACAUCACAAAAAUACUACAACUUUUUAAAAGAAAAAACAAAGCACAUCAAGCACACAAACAGAUCUGUAAGUCACAUCUCAGUUACAGAAGUUUUGCAUGUGCUUCUUUCAUUCUUACUUUGUGAACACCUCAGGACAAUUUACAUACAAAUUUCUUAAUAUGUUGUUUUAAAGAGUAAGAAAAUGAAGUUGAAAUUCUCCUUUAAUUAUUGCCCUCAGCUGACUGGGGCUAAAGUGGGACUAGUGUCCAAACAAUAACUUAUUAUUUUUUGUGUGCUCUAUACCAGCCACUGCCUGACGUUCAGACUACUGCUUUGCAGCAGAAAGAAUAACGAGUUAGAAAGACAAGGGCAGAAGGUAGAGGGAGAGGGAUAUUGGGGUAGAGCUGGCAGAGAAGCUAGAAAGAGUAGAUGGAGAGCAGAGGAGACUUGCUGGGAGGAGUUGGUGGGAAUCCAGGUCACUGAAGGAUUUAGGGGAUAUAAACAAAUCUAGAGAACCAAAAGUGGAUUCUGUAUAUGUCUCUGGGACUGAAUGAGCAAGAAAAUGAUUGGCAUUAGGAAAAAGUGGCUUGAUAGUAUGGCUGGGACUGGCAGGGUGAAUAGAACCAGCAUAGACAAGGGCAAAGGCAGGGCAGAAAUUUUGUGCGUGGAGACUAUGCACUGUCAGAGCUUAUUUGGAAGCCCAGAUCCAUAAGUCUUAAUAGCCUUGUUUUGAGCAAUCCUGAUGCUGUGAUGGUUUCCAACAGGAGUAAAGCUAAAGGAGCCCAAUUUUUUAAAGUCUUAUAGGGGGAAUAAGCAGUUUCCUGUAGCUAUAGCAAAGGCUUUAUUUCUAGAGCAAACUAGUAAGAAAAAGGAAAUGGUAUAUCAUCCUGAAAGUAAACUGUAAAAUGUAUAUCGUAUUGCUGCUGAAUGUUGCCAUAACAGCCUUCAUUUCAUCAUGUAAUAACUUCUUUUAGCAUACUCUCUUGGAUUAAUUCCUUUUAAAACUUUGCGUUUGAAAAUAUUGAAUGUAGUUGCGCCCAGUUUUCUCUCCUUGGUUUCUUCAUCUCCUUCUCAAGAUAAAAUUACAGCAAACUCUGUGACUCUGUGCCAUGCUGAAAGCUACAUGAACAUUUAAUGACUAUAUUCUCAUCCAGACAUCUAAUGGACUGAAUUUUUUUUUUUUUUUUUGCUCAGGAUCACACAGGAUGUCUUUGGCAGAAUUUUAUUAGCUAGUUGCUAUGCCAUUUUGUCUUUUUCUCUGAAGUCAGAAAUAGGUCCUCCUUCUAUGAUUAUUUUAUUCCAUCAGCAAAUUCUAUUCUGAAUUAGAAUUAUUUUGUUCUAUUGUUCCAGAAUUGUUCUAUUCUGUUCUAGAAUUGUUCUAUUCUGAACAAUUAUUCCUCUUGAGACAGCGGAAAGUGAGCCUCAAUAUAUGGUGAACCCAUGGUGUUUGGAAAUGUUUAAUUUCUUCACUUCAGUUCACAAUCACUCUAGGGAAUUUCUGAGAAGGACCAAUAACUAUUUAGCAUCUAGAACUCAAAAACUUGCAGCAAACUUCUACUGCUAAAAUGGCUAGUGACCAUAAGAAUGAAUGUAUGGUCUACUGAGAGCAGCAGGCACUUCUUUCAUUAGCCUGAUAGAAAAGUAUUUCAUAAAUAUAUAGUGCUCUGCAGUUGAUGGAGUCUUCACAAAAUGCUGGUAGUUUUAAUGCAGAUUGCUACAAGAUUCCAUUAACUCACUGGUGAUGAUCUGAUUUUUUUUUUUUUUUUUUUUUACAGUGUAAAUGUGUUUUUCUUCUACUUUCUGAUUGGUAUGAAAACAAAUGAAUGUGUGCAGAUGCUGCUUUUAUGCCUGAAAUUAGCAGAACACCAUGCUUUCUCUCUCUUCAUUAUCAUUUUGAAUGAUCGCAACUUUCUAGAUUCAAGAAUAAGAAUGGAUUAAUUUGUAAAAUCAGAGACCCAAUCUCACAAAUACUUUAGGUGCUCCUGCUUCUUUGUUCAUGGCACAGAAGUUGAAACAUACAAAUUUUGAUAAAGGUUUAGUAACAAAUUGGGAGUAAUCUAUUGUCUGUUUCUACAAAGGAAAAAAAAGAAAACAUUGAAACACAUUAAAAAUAUGAAACUCUUAGAAGGUCAUUUAUAACAUUCAAUGCAGUCUUAAGUAGCUGACAAUGAUCGUAUGCUUACUCCUCUGAAAGCAAGAGAUGACUACAUCUUUCAGGCAAUUAAUUCAAAGACUGCACCUUAAAUAUAUGACUGUUUGAAAAAGCUUUCAGUACCGCUAAGUAUCCCGAGAAUAUAGCAUGUUAUAAUGUGUGCAAAACAUGGAGUGAUUUGACAUCUAACUUUGGAACCUGAACCUCCGAGCUUAGCCUUGCAAUUUCAGUCUCUACUGCCCUGUUUUCCUACAGUGACAUAAACAGAAGAUGGCACUGUUUAUUCAUUUGUCUGAAAAUAAAAAGAUAUUUUCUGUUCUUUCAAGGAAAAAAAUAAAUGCUAGUAUACAAGUAAAACAGAAAAGAAAAUGGAGGUGAUCAUGCUUUUGGAGAAAAUGAUACUUUCUGCUGAGUCAGGACACAUGCUUAUAAAAGCUGCAGUAUUGUCAUGGCUCAGAGAAGAGCUACCUUUUGGUGUGACAGCUGUAUAAAGUUCAAAGCCUCUGUGAAACAGGGGGCAUGAAAUACAACAUACAGAGAUCAAACACCAGAGGAGGAGAGGGCAUGUAUUAAAGUUGUUUUUUGUGUACUGAAAAAAAAUACUAUGAGAACAUAAUUAUACAAAAAGAUGCAUUUGAUAAUUGGCUUGUUAAUACAGGUAUCAUCCAACACAGGGAGUUUUCUGUGGAGAUGCAUGAUUGUUUUUUUCACCAAGGGAAGCCUUGGAAUUAACAAAGGGGCUCCUGAGCUCCUGGUCUUAUGAACAUCCACAUACAUGUUUUCAAGUCCUUUAUUUUAUGAGGGAACAUAAAAGGCCCAGAAUGUCAUUUUUGCAAAAUCAGAGUCUUGAUCUACAAAUCAUCCAAUUCUUGGAAAAAAAUAAAAAGAACGUAUUAAGACAGGGGCUGUAUUAAUAGUUCACUGCAAAUAUGUGUUAAUAUAGUACUACUUUAUUUCAGUUAAUGAAAAUUACUGUUAUCUAAUCUGAAAGUUUAUUUUGAGAAAGCAGUAGAUACUUUAUAGAUAAGCCUACACUCUUACACUUAAAUUAUUAGCUGUAGUUGGAGUUAAACUGAAUAUCUCCAAGAGCUUCUAACUAACACAAAGGUGGGUGCAAAGGGUGUUAUCUUCCCAUUAGCUCCAGUACUCCCUUUAUAGGUGGCUGUUGGCAAAGAUAAGAAGACUGUCCACAGGAAAGCAGGAAAUUUAGUUGCCAUUUGGGAAGUUUUACUGCUAAUUUUUCUUUUGCUUUUUUAUUUGUUUCUUGAUAUAAAUCCUAACUCUUGAGGACUGGCACUUUUGAGUAUUGCUGUGAUUUCCUGCUCAGUUGUUUCACUUAUCAAAUAGCUUCUCUUGUGUGACUAGAGCUAUUGAUCUGAAUAAAGUAAAGCAGGAUUUGGCCUAGCAUGAAAGUAAUCUUCAGGAUGUGAAUAAUACGAGCAAGCUGGAUUUUAAUUUGGAGAAGACUAUAAACUAUUUUUAUUUUCAAGCAAACAUAGCCAGCACAAUUCUAGAAAAGAAAUGCUAUUAAAUGUUUGCCAAAAUAAAUGGGGUUCUGUGAUCUUUUGGUAAUUGCUUAUGGUAUUGAAUAAGAUGUCCUGUUUUUCUUUGGAGAGUUUUCAACAGUUCAUUAAAAGAGCAGCACAGAGAGUUUGUGAUAGUCUAUGAAAAUGCUUGUAAUUCACUCCCUUUUCAGACUGAGAUAAAUCUGAAAUACGCCAUGCUAGUGAAGAGCUGAUUGAAGCUGAGCAUAUUUUCCUCUCUUUUGGUUACCACUGAAAGAAUGAGUGGAUUUUAUGGAACAAAUGUGUUUUCAGAAUUGAAGUGUGGGCUUUGGUGUAUUACAUGUCUCAAGGAACUUGAAAUGGUACUGUAAACUAUGUUCAUUUGCCCUUGUCCUUCAUUUCUUCUUAGUAGGAUUUUUCUUAUCCAUGACAGCAGUGUUAUUUAUAAAAAGGUGUUAUGGAAAGGAAAUAACUUAUGAGAAACCAAACAAGCAAAAACUCAUUUUGCAAGUGCAAGCUGAGAAAGAUACUCAUGCUAGGAGUACUUCCCAUAAGACUGUGUGACAGAAAAGGGCUUUAACCUUGUAACAAAUUAAUGUUUAUACUUGAAAGUCUUCCUGUUUUAUGUUUAAUUAUAACCUUAGAUCUGUAUUUUAGGUUUCUAAAUUUUUGGAGGCAAGCCAGUUUUGCUUUUAUUACUAAGCUUUCAAAGAGAUAGUUGGUUAAAUCUUAGGUAAGAAGACUGAAUUAUACAAUAUUAUAUAGAAAUCACUUUUUUAAUUUGAAAUCAAUAUUGCAAGAGGAGGAUUUUGAAGGAACAUUUGCCACACAAACCUAAGUUUCUUUUGAAAUUCUUGAUCCCAACUACCAACCCCCAGAGGUAACGUUCUACCUUUCCUAAUUUAUGUCAUAUUUUGCUGGAAUAAGCGAAUUGCCUUCUGUUUUCUUCUUUGUAAUCACUAGAAAAUUGAACUUUGAAUGUUAUGACCUAUUUCAAUGUAGCUGAUUGCUUGGCACAGAAUUCUAGUACAGUCUAUUGUGUACUUGUGAGAUAUACUUUUUGGGAAAGGAAUACAUAUGUGAAUCAAUGUAUUUCAUGGAUUUCCUGUCUAAUUUCAGAAUGUAUUAUAAUAUUCUCCUUGUAACAAAAGGCUAAUAGUCUAAAUGAAACUGCUUAAGUCAGUCCAGCCAGCAUGCUGUGCACCAACACCUUUGCUCUACAGAAAAUAUCAGAGAAGUUCAUCCAUUUGCCUACGCCUCACUGUUAAUACAUUAUGGCUAUUACCUAAGGUAUUGCUAUAGGAACUUCCAGAAUCUGUUUAUCUUGAAUACACAAUGGGUUUUUUAAGAUUUUUUUAAACACUCUUAGAAUCCUAUCAUUUUUGGAUUCGGAUCACCUUUAUCCUUGCAAGACAUACGUGCUUAUGGGUCACAUUUACAUUUGCAUGUGUGGGCUGAGAUGUAACUUGGUAUUACAUAGCUGCACACUCCUGAGUUACAAAAUAAGGCCAUGUGCAGGUCCUAAAGGUAAUGUUUCUUUUAGAAAUACGUACUUAUUUUCCCUUCUUUGCAUAGGGAAGGGCAUGGUCAAACUGGACUCUUACAAUAUAGUUACUGUGGCAGAAUUUAUCUUUCCACUGUUCUCCAUAAGCUUUUUAACGUCUUUGUCCUUUCAGAAGGACUCUGAAAUAUGGAGAGAGAAAAACAAAAACAAAUGAAAACAAAUCAGCAAACUUUCCAGCAGCUCCUGUAAGGAUUUCAUCAGCUUUUACAACCAGCUUUUAGCUCCUCUCUACACUUCGCUCACCUGGGACUUAGAAGAACUACAGUAGCUAGGAUUUUCCCUGUCCAAGCUGUGUAAGACUCUAGCAUUGUGUAUCCAGGCCACUUGGAUUUAUUUGCUCAUGUUUUUAAGAGGAAGAAAAUGCCUAAAUGACAUCUAAGGAUACAUUUUAUUUAAAACAAACAAAAAUCACAGCAAUAAUCUUGUUGCAUCCAGAAUGAACUUCAAAACCUUCCUGUGUUAUCAUUUGCCCUAUGUAAUUGCAAUGUCUGUUUUUACUGCACUUUUCUACUCUGAUGCACAACAAAAUUAAUUUCACAAUGACAAAGGAAAUCUUGGCCCUGAGCUUGCUUAAAGCCAUCAUGAGUCUGAAUCCUGCAGGAGUUUCUGCCAGAGGGGCUGAGAGUUGCAAUGAAUGGACUACUUAACCUGUGAACUAGUAGAAAAUAAUGUUGACCUCCAGCUAUCCAAGCAGUAUAUUUACUAAAUAAAUAAACUGUAAGGAAUGCCCUUCUAUUCCAGGGUCAGGUCAAUGUACAAUUUUAGGUGAAAAAUAAUGCUAUUUAUGGUUUUCUCCCUGUAAGUAAAUCUAAAUUUACUAUGUAGCUAGAUGGAAUUCAUUCAGUAAGUGUAUCAAAGACUGUAACUAACGAUUAUUUUAUGAAUUUCUUUCUGUGGUUGUACAAUCAACAAAUAUACAAUCAGCAAAGUGGCAUGGUUAGGCUGGUAUUUUACAGGAUUGUCACGGUGGAAAGGGAUAAUUGAAAAUAAAUGAAAAUGCUCACCCAUAUCCUAGGCUUGCAGAAAAUCACCAAAAGGAGCAAUCUCCAGAAAGAGAUGCUUCCCCCAUGACAGCCAGCCCUCAGAAGGGGUCUAGGAGAGGUGGAACCAGGCUCCAUCCCUUCCAGCCAUACAGUUGAAUUGCUUUCACCUGUUCUCCCACAGCUAACUCAGUGCUUGCCUCAGGUGAUCAGUCAGUGGUUCAGGCUGUAAUUCAACAUUCCCACACACUCCACUACUUCACAGUAUGAACCAACGAUCAGGUUAGCUAGAGGGUGAGCCUUCUCUAAUACAGAGAUCCAAUACAUCAUGAUGCUUAUACAAUUGCUUGUUGCGAUGCAUAUUGACACAAUUUAAGACAAGUGAUGAUCAGCAUAUGGUGAAAGUUCAUGCUCUUUUAUGGGCCAGUACUUGGUGGUGUUACUGGAGGCACGUAGUCGUGUGGUACAGGAUCAUCCUAUGCUCCAUCAGUCCCAUGUAGACCGUCACUGGGUGUCACACAUGAUCUGACAGCAACACUAGAAUGCUUUGAUGGCAUUUUGUUCCAGUGAUCCUAGAGGCUCAAAGACUCACAGGGAGUAAAAUAGAUAUUUCAGAGGUACAAGGAGGGAAAGGUCUGACUUCCAGGGCAGGAUACAGGCCAUACAUAUAUCCUGGGUCAACACUUCAACUUGUACCAUGGUAUGUCCCAGCCACCUGUACCAUACCUUUUGGCCAGAUGUCUGUGGCUGCAUAACUAUAUCAGGUACUAAAGGGGGUAUUCUGAUCUGCCCUAGGGACACAAUAGCAGUCCCUUUAGCGAUGAAGAUUGUAGUGUUGACCACAAUAUCUGUAGGCUAUAUACCUAUUAUUGAAGGGACUACUGAUCCUCCCAGCUUCAGUAAUCUCCUCCAAAGCACAAGUAUGCCAUACCAUUUGGUCCUACCUCCACCUUCCAAGGCCAUUUUAUUCUAUGGGGGCCCAGAUCUAAAUUCUCAGGGGCAAAGAGCAGAUUAUUUUCAUUGCUAGUCUAGGGUCUUACUUGAUUACUGGUACCCAUAAUUUGGACUCUAAGUGGAGAGAUCCAUGUUGCCUGUAGCAUUUUCAAGGUACUGGAUCUGCUAUCUCUAGGUCUUUCAUUCAGGUCCCUCAGGGUUUCAUAGAGUCUCUUCAUCCACCCCUGCAGGAAAAGAGAGUCUGCCUUCAGGGCUACUAUAAGAAUACUGUUAUGAUGUUCAACGAGGCCUGCCCCCAUUGGAUUAUAGGGCAGGUGAAAGCUUUGAGUGAACCCUCCAGAAAGAAAUCUUUCCCCAGUGGCAGUCAGCCCUUAAAUGGGGUCUAGGAGAGGUGGAGCUAUGCUCCACCCCUUCCAGUCACACAGUUGAAUUACCUUCACCCACACUCCCAUGGCUGACUCAGUGCUUGCCUCAGGUGAUCAAUCAGUGAUUCACAGGUGAUCCAUCACCUUUUCUUAGUUUCACUGGUUGUUAAAAAGGGAGCAGAUCAGGCUGGCUUGCUCAUCUCCAGCACCUUUUCUGAUGUGAUGAGUCUUUCCUCUUCAGUCUGCAGAGCAACAGCAGGCUUUGGAGGCAGUCUCCCUCUAGCUUGCCAUGGUUAUUUAGAAUUACAGGCACACAUCUGGGAACAUUUCUGCCACCUCAGGCAAGUCUGGUAAUGUCAUUCAGAUAAGGGAUUGGAAUAUGGGUCUGAGUUUGCACCUGACUUGGCAUUAUGCUUUAGUGUUCCUAGUAACUACUACAAACUUAUUUGAACUUUCUUCCUAAACAAGUUUUUAGCUAGGCAGAUGCCCCCACCAACUCUCCUGUAUUCUACUGUGCAUUCCUUGAGACAUACAGGCUUCAGCAUAACACUUAAAGAAAAAAAAUCCCUGCCAACUCUGACUGCAAAUUCACAUUACAUUAAAAGCAGAAUGGAAGAUUAGGGUACUAAAAAAAAACUUUACAAGCUAAACAAACCCUUACAGUAAAUAGGUUUGCAAAGAAAUCUGUCUUUUUCUUCUUAAAUUGCUUCAAAGAUGAAAGUUCCUUGUUGAUGGUUUAAGGGCUGGUCCAGCCCGGUUCCAUGACUAGUGGGGCGGAGGGCUUUCGCAAAAUCCGCACCUCUAGGAAGGGAAACAGGGGACCCCAAAAUAAUUUAAAAACAGCGGCAACGAUCUGAAGAGAAACAAACUAAUUUACUAAAUAUAGUAUCGGAAUGUAAGAUAACACACUAUAAUACAAUGUAAAUCAACAAUAAUUGAGAGAAAGAUUGUCCAAGAGCCAAAGGACUUACACUAAUACUGAAGCCUUGUGCGCAGUCGGAAGCAACAGUAGCGAGCUGAUCCGGUAGGGAACAUGGCAAGACGAGAAGAAGGCUGAGUCAGAUGACCUGCACCCUUAUAUCUAUUCCCUUGAGCAGGAAUGAUAACAGUAGUCGAAAAGACUCUUGGGGAACGCAGUUCUUCUUCUCUUCCAGACAGGUACAUGAAACUAAAGCAUUUGCUCUUUAACUCCCAGUACAAUGCAUGAUAUUGUGAUGUGCAAUACUGAUAACCAGAAAUCAUAAAACCAUGACAUUCCUGUUUUAAGAUUCUGGAAAAAUUAUCUUUAUAUAAAAUAAAUAAAUAAAUCUGGAACUGAGUUCAAGUAGAAGGAAUAGAAUGCAUGAUUCCAAAUUUUACGUGUGUCAUACAAUAGGUUUGUAUAUAUUGCAUAGAAUUCUGUAAAGUAGCAAGACUUGAUUAAGGGGAAACAUACACAGCAACUUUCUGAAGACUUGGCUUCUAAUCGUACAGCUUCUAAUCAUACUGUUAUCAACGGCUUUUCUAACAAUGGGUGCCAUCUUUUUAUAGAGCUGAUCAAUAACGAAAGAAAAUAUCCUACAUUUUCUUCUAAAAAGAAGUAACACAUUAGCUUGCUUUGUCACGGCCUCCUUAUAUUGGUAAAAAUGUCUGAGAAAUUAUACAGGGUCCAUUAUUUGGAAAAUCCAUUGGGAAAAUGGUAGCAAAGAUGAAAUAAUAAUGAAUAAAGUUACAAUAUCUAAAAUUGGGAAACAGAAACUAUGUCCUGUUGUUAAGAGAAUUAGUGUCUUCUAUGAAUACAGAGUCUGAAUAUGUUUAGUGUUGCUAUGUGAAACAAAACUUCAGGAUGUAAAUUUUUUCUCUCUCUUUAUUUGAGGGUAAAACCAGGAUUUCUUGUUGUCUGUGACAUUUUUAACUUCUACCAUCAAAUUUUGUAGAGUUCUCCCAAGAUUAUGAAUUUUCAUUUUCCUCAUGUGCCUGUAUCAAGGAGCCAGGAUGUCUUCAUGCCAUGAGGUGAAAGACAAAGUCCUCUAAAAUUUAUUCUUUGAGAAUCCAUCUACAGUUAAGGUUUGAGACAGUCUCCAGCCCAGAGAUUCAGGGCAUCUUUGUGUAUUCUGUUCAAAAUAAUCAAUACUACAGUUUAAAGGAGACAAGGGAGAGACCAAGUGAUGAUCAACAGCAAAAUCCAUGACCAGGGCUCUCUAUAAAGAGAGAAGACCUUGGCUGUGCAUGACUUCCCAGAUCAUGACAAAAGAUAAUCGAAGUGGCAGCAAAAGCAAAACUCCUUUGAACAGUCUUAGAGCAGAAGGAGGAUGCUACUAGUUUCAGCACAAUUUGGUGUCAUUACUCAUCUCUCUUUCUGUGGGAAUGUCUGGUCUGCCCACAGCUGUGCUAUAAAUCAUAAUUAGUAUCAUGAAUAUUUUUCCUUCACAGCAGUUAAUGAACUAAAUAUCAGAAGUUUAUUACUUUAUUAGAGAACUGUUACAACCUUUGAACACAAUAUGUUGUUUAAAGCAAAAAUGAUGAUGAAUAUUCACUAGGAACUUUUUUAUUUUAUUUCAUUUCACUUUUUUUUUCCUUUCUAUACACAAGAUGUAGCCACUUUUAUUUGUCUGAAGGUGACAAAAGAAGGAAACACUACACAGGUCAGUGGAGUUAAUGUGGGAUUGAACUGAAUGGAGAACUAGGUUUGUAAUGUAGCCCUGAGUCUGCCUUUUCAUUGUUCUUAUGCUGGUAUCACUACUGAUUCAGAGUUGUUUUUCAUUGGUAUUAUUCAAACAGGUAGCACCUCCACACAGAAAUUACCCUGGGAUCCUGGUGGAUGGCAAAUUUAAUGUGAACUGUAGAGAACUCUUCUGGUGAGAAAGACCUGCAGUAUACUGACUUGCAUUAGUUCAGUGCAGACAGCAGAUCAAGUGAAAUAAUUGCUCCCCUUCAGUCAAAUGCUGUGAUGCUGUAUCUGAAUGAGUUCCGUCGUGGUCUUCACAGCCAAGAAAGGUAGUGACAAACUGCAGAGAGCCCAGGGAAGGGUUAUUAAAUAUAAACCAACCAUUUGGUUAGUGGUGUACUUCCAUGGGGACAGGCUGAGAGAACUUGAUUUGCUUAGCCUGCAAAGGAGAAGGAAAAUUCUAAUUGCUAUUGUUAACAGUGUUUUUGGCUAGAGAGGAGACAGAUAGCAUCAGACUCUUAGAAGUAAAAUGCAAGAUGACAGAAGGCAGUGUUCAUAGGUUGCUACAGGGGAAAUUCUGAAUGGAAACAAGGAAGAAAAUCUUCACAAUAAAGACAUCUGAAUGCUAGUACUACUUGUGCAGGGGGGAUGAGGCAUCUCUACUCUUGACAAAACUCAGAACUUUUCUGAACCCAGAUCUGAGACUCCUGGUCAAACUUUGAAGUUUGCCCUGCUUUGAGCAGGCGAUUAAACUGAGUGACCUACAGAGAAGCCUCCCAGCUGAAGCAUUCUAGGAUCCUUUGAUCCUGCACAUACUAGCCAUUGGCUGGAGGAAAAAAAUAAGACAUUUUCUGGCAUAUACAUACCAAAGUUUUAGUCAGCUCAGUUGUGCUGUGACCAAAUUUGGUCAUUGCCUACUAAACUAAUCUUGGUGUUUGAUAGUAUCUCUAAAUAAUUUCUGGUACAUAGCAGAGAGCAUAUUUUUAGGUUUCUACAACAAAUAAGGAGCAGGGUGUUUUCUAAUUAUACAGAAGGAACUAUGGUCUACUAUGUAUUAAAGGGGACAUCAGCUUGUGAAAAGUCCUCCCAGCUUGACAUAAGCAUUUCUGUUUUCCUCCCUGUGUGUUAUACGUAAUCACAUCUCUAGAAUUUUGACUUAAUGUGGUAUGGAUAACUUCACAUCUCAGCUGUUGAGACUGAUUAAUACAUACAUUCAGCAGUGUUUGAUAAAGAUUUCUUCCUGCUGUAAAUAUCCACUAUAUAUAAAUAUCCACUGUCCAAAUGAAUACUGUUGAAGUAAUAAUUCAUUUCAAAGUAGACUAAGCAAAUCUGAGAUUAUAUUGAAUUGUCUCCAGACUCCAUUAAAAGCAUAGUACAUGGUAUCAUUUUCACUCAGAGAGCCACCAGGAAAUGAAGCAAUCUGCUAAGCUCUCAUUUCUCAUUUUUUAGCAACUGUGUUUAUGUGGAUUUUUUGGGAAAUAAUAGGAAUUAAGAGACAAGGUUUGCAUUCUCAGCACGUGAUCCUGAGUAGGUCAUUUUUUUAAUCUCCAACUCACUCUGUAGAGAAGGUAUUUACAUGUAUUUUUAUUUUAUGACAUUCUUGAUUUAUGGAUUGAGAAGAAUGCAGUGUAUGAGUUAGAUCUUAUAAAAACAACAUUAGAAUUGACAUUGAAAAUGCAGCCAUUUAUGAAUUCAGUAUUUAGUCAAUACUGCAUAUGGAAUUUAACAGCAACAAUAUCCAGCCAGAUGUGAUUUCCUCUCAUUUUAUAUUGCAGGGUAGGGGGAAAUGUAUGCAACUAAAACCAAACCUUGUAAACAGCAACAGCAGCAACAACAGACUAAUCUGUGGAAAGUUAAUUGAACCAUUCCAAGCACUUUAGGAUGUCAAAAUCUUUAAAGCUGAAAAAUAGGCAUUCCCCUCAAAUGGUCUCUCUCCUGCUGGUAUAGAACACCUUGAUGUAGAGCUGUAGGGUUUAUUUGUGCCACAGAGCAUGUCUGUUACUUUGUAUGUGCUGCUGAAAAAUGUGUUAGUAUUUAAAUAUUAGCACAAAAGAAUGUUAUAUUUCCUGCUCUAACAAGAUCAGUUUCGAUAAAACCAAAUUUAUUCAUUCUUUUCUAUCCAUAUCUUGCAGCAUCAUUUUGCACUUCUCUUAGAGACUACACUACAGCAAUGUGAUCUGUGGUAGUCCUGUGAGCCCCAGGACCUUGAGUUACUUCCUUGCUGAAUCCAGUGGCAGCCUUGACAAGCAAUCUCGUUAGCAUUAGCCUACAAUUAAAUUGAAAGGAAAGUAGCUAAGCAUGCUUUUAUCUUUCUAAGACUUAUUAAAUUUCUUUCUAAACAGAAACUAUGAAUAAAGGCCUUGUGAUGCUAGCCAGCAGACAAUUCCUCAGAUGUAUAAGUUGAUAUAGACUAGUUAUUAAUGAAAGGAUAGAAAAGAUUAUGUUAAUUACCACCUGGCAUCGUGAGACUCUAAUCGCAUUCAGAAUAUCAAUGAAGCCAAUGAUUUUGAUUGUCAGAGCAAUAAUUUUGAGGGCUUGGUCCUUGGAGAUAUCAUAGUGAAGUCCUCUUCAGAAAAGUCUCAUUUCAUUUUAAUGAAAAUAUUCAAUAUUUGAGCUGAGAUGCAGAUUAAAGUCCAAGCUGAAUGUGAAAUCUAACUCAAAAAGCACUUUAAAAGCCAUCAGAUAAUUGCAAAUUUGGAUAAGAAACCUAGAGACUAGCCCAACAAUCAACUUAGCUGUUUCUUUUAGCUCAACAAAAGCCAGUGACUUCUAAAUAACAAUCAAACAGGUAAAAUUAAUAAUUGAGUCAGCUCCAAAUCUCAGUUCUGACAGCUUAAUUUGAGUAAAAGCUUUAUGUGAACUUUUUUAUCUAAUAGAAAAUGUGGUCUAUUUUAAUACUCAGAUCUAAACUUCUACAGUUAAAAAAAACGGGAAAAAAAUGUAAUUCAUCUCACCAUGUAAAAGCUACCCGUUGCUGCCCUGUAUUAUUCUUAUGAUAACUUGAAUUUUUUGUUAGCUGCUGUCUGUGUCUGAGGUUAUUUUCUAAGAAGCUUUGCCAAUGCUUAAUUUCUACUUACAGGAUGAGUGUAGCAGAAAAUAAUGCAAAUGCCAAAGCAGUUCAAAACAAACACAGCUUUUCUUCUGCCAUACAAACCCAUUACAGUGUUUACCAGUCCACCUGUGGGGUUCUGUUCAUGCUAUUUGUUAAUCAGCCCACGCUUCCAAACCCAAAAGUGAAUUUUAAUCUUUUUAGAGCUGUGUUUUCUUGGAAUUAUUAUCUGCACCCCCUCAAAAACAAAACAAACCCACAAAAAUGUGUGAUUCUUGAUGUAGAGGAUUUCAGCUACUGAGGGAAUGUUAGUUGGCUUACCUAAGGUACUUUCUGUGGAAAGCCUUGAUGUUGUCCAUUUUGAGACCACCAAUUGAGUAGGUCAGUAUUCUCAAAUUAAAAUAAUUGUUAGAAAAAAAUAAUAAUUGAGGAACACUCCUGGCAUGUUACUGUGCCUAAACUGAACAACACUUCUAUAUCAUUUGAGGGUAGCCAUUUUGUUUUCUAAAUGUAAAUAUCAAGCACCAUGCUGUCUGCUUCCUCUGAAGGACCUAAGCACUGUAAACGUUUAGUGAUUGUAAAGGAAAACAGGGAAAUAUCAUCAGGGGAACUGCUGAUACCUGUAGCAUACGCUGAAGAUAUAAUGGCAAAGGAAACACUGAGUUAUUUUUGAGAUUGUUUUGGGUAGUUUGUAAGCCAAAGGUGAUACAAGAACUGUUAUAAAUAAAUUUGAAUUACUUUGUAGCAAGCAGUAUUCUCAAUUUAUUAUUGAAGAUUUUAUAUAAUGUAAAUUUUCACAAGAAUGAAUAAAAUAGAGUUUUAUUUAUUUACAGUAACAUAACUCCAUUGCCAGUGGACUUCUAAUAUCCAUCUGGAGGUAGGAUAGUUGGGUGUUUUGAUAUUUACAGACAUGAAUAGGUUUCUAAAUUACAUGUGGUGAAUAGAUCUUCUCAGCAUUGUUUGAGCUUGCACAGGCUUUCUCCUUUGAUCCUACAUAUUAGUCUGUUUAGUUCUAGGUUUAGGAGCUCAGAAGAUUCAAAGUGUUGAGGAGAAGGUAUUAAGCUCACGUAUUUAUUAGAUGCCCAAGAGUGAGUUUGUGGAGGGAACUGUAGGGUCAAAGUAACCUCUAUACAGUUUAUCUGUGUACUGUGUAUUAUUCAGGUUACUCACAGAUGAAAAUAAUAGUAAUAAUAAUGGGAAUAUUUGCAUAGAACCAGAAGACAAAUGGAACACAGUGUUGUUAGAGAUUGUCUUGUAGCUGUUAUGUAAACCAAAGGCUCAGUAAAAUAGAAUAAUAACUCCUGUCUGUGCAUAUAUCAAGUAAAUACCUAGAAGCCAAAUUGUUUUGUAAGCUGAAUGUCUUAGGCUUGUGGUUGAGGCAUGCAACUCAGUGAGGUUCUCCCCUGUAUGAUCAGGUUCUGUGACUUGGAAAGUAAAAAUUAGAAACAUAAAGGUGAGCUCAUAUAGAGAACUUAGAGCAAUGUGUAGGCUUGACCUUUGGCGAUGAUUGGCUACUUGAAAUAUGUGAGGGAGAGCGAUAAUCAAGAACGGUCCUUGGCCCAUCACCUAAUUCCCUGCAGUAUCUUUCACAGUGGCCCAUACAGACAUGCAUAUGUAUAAUUUGGAUAAGGAAAUAAACUUAUUUUUUUUCUCUAUCUCUGACAGCUUGAUGUUUGAAAUGAAUGAGUCUGCUGUUCAAGAGACAGGGUAGGGUGCUUUAAUGAGAACACAUGCUUGCUUACAACAAAUAAAUGAGAAAAUACAAUCUCACACAUGUAAGAAUGUAUUAUGAUCUUAGAACUGAACAUCCUGAAAAGCAAUUUUUUACUGUAAAUUGCACACUUGUCUAUGAGCAGAGCAGCCUUUGAUAAAGAGCAGUAAAUAUUCAAAGCAAAAAUACUUUGUUCCUUGUUACAAAUAGCGAUCUAUUGCUAAACUGAAGGCCAAUUAAAGCUACCUACAUGGAUAAUCACAGUUUCUGAAAAAAAAUGUAGGUCUUUCCUCAGCUCAUAGAUUUAUGACCUUGGAUUUUUACUCUGCAGCACAAGGAGCAUCAAUUGAAUUUGUUAGAAAAAUGAAUCUGUAAUAUCACAAAGUUUCAACAUGUUCCUGAACUUUUUUUUUUAAGCAAAUACCCUUUCUGCAGCUCAUAGAUGAGUAAUGUAUUAUUAAAAAAAAUAAUAAUAAAUUACUUAAAAAUGUAGUGAGGGAGUGAUUAAUUUGCAUUUUUAUUUUGGUCCUUGUAAUUAGCAGCUGUUAAUAAUCAAGUCUAACCUGACUCAUUUGCAAACAGAGGUGAGAGAGCUAUGGAGGAUUAAAAUUCUCAUGAUAUUCUAAGAAUUCAGAAAUCCAUGAAGCAUAAUUACCUCUAAGAAAUGGUAGAAAUUGUUAGUAUGAAGCCACCUGACAAAAGGAAUGUUGAUUCAUAACUUUUUCUGAAGACAUAUCUUCUGCGUCUACUUUGAUUAUAUACAGCAAUAGAAAUUUCUGGAAAUUCACUUUUCACAGCAAUGUAAAUAAAGGUAACAGCUGUAUAAGUUUAGAAAAUUUUUUGUUUUCUGGUUUAUUAAAUCAGUAUGGCUCCUUUCAUGUUAGACAAGGAGGCAGUUCUAAGUAUAGUAAAUACAAUCGGGCUUUACUUUAUACUCUAAAUAUAGUUUGUACCACCAGGGAAGAGAGUAACAAUAGCUCUUCUAAAGCUGCCUAGAGAGUGUAAUCAUGACCUCGUCACAAACAAGAUUUGGUGUGCAGAAUUCUUCUGUCUUCAGCUGUUGCUUAGGCAAUGGGUACUGCCAACUCCUACUGCUGAGCUAAAAUAUGGCUUUACUGUGGUUUUGGGCCAAUUACUAGUUGAUGGAGAUUGUUCAGCAGCAAUUAAGAUGAGAUUACACAUGCUUCUGCUUGGAUGCACAAGUUUUCUCCCAACAACCUGGAUUGGUCAUAUGAGACUUUGCUUCUUUGCUGUUACCAGUACUUUUGCUUGCUACUUAAACAUGGGAAUACAAGAAAAAUUGUUCAGAGCAGCAGCUGUGGAGCAAGAUAAACAGCAAGAGAACCAAGGACACCUCUAGAAGAAGAAAGAAUGGCUUGCAGCUCUGAUUGGAUAAACGCUCGCAUGAAUGUUUGAAGAGUGUUUGUAGAAUGCUCUGUUGACAUGUAAAGGAGGAUGGGAAAGCUAGAAAAAGAAAACUUGUGAAGAUAUAUAAUUGAUGUGAGAACUUGUAAUAAACGAUUUGGAUCAUUCACAUCUGAGCCCG
ensembl:lncRNA